AAGAUUACAAAACAAAAAAAAAAAACAAAAAAAAAAACAAGAACCAUUUAAGAACUUAUUAAGCAACAAUGGCCAUCGAAAAGAGAACCAUGAUUGCCUCAUUCGUCAUCGUACUGAUGAUGGUAACGAUGAUCGUGACCAAUGUUGAGGCUAGGAAUCAUGUCAAGAUCAAGCCCCCAGCAAACCCCAAGUUUUACCUUUUCUAAAUUGAUGGCUCAUAAAAUGUUUACAAGAAAAUAAAUGGUUAUUGCUUCGACGUACGAGGAGCUUAGCUUCAAGCAUUGGUUUUAACCAAUGUUUGUUUUUAAUAUGUAUUUCACUUCCAUCCUCUUAUUUGUUUAGUUAUGGAUGGAUGGAGUAAUUUGAAUAAUAAAUUGUGUAAAAAAAAAAGAAUAUUUAUACGUUAAUGAAAUAUAAUAGUUUCAUAUUUCAGUGACAAUAAUGUUUUUUUUUUUUUGCUAUGAAUGUUAAUAUAAUUAUAAGUGAAAACGUUUGGUUUUAUU
rnacentral:lncRNA from 1 species